GACGAACGCUGGCGGCGUGCUUAACACAUGCAAGUCGAACGAUGAAGGAGAGCUUGCUCUCCGGAUUAGUGGCGAACGGGUGAGUAACACGUGACUAACCUGCCCCUUUCUCUGGGAUAACGCUCCGAAAGGAGUGCUAAUACCGGAUACGAACUCUGAACACAUGUUCGGAGUUGGAAAGUUUUUCGGAAAGGGAUGGAGUCGCGGCCUAUCAGCUUGUUGGUGAGGUAACGGCUCACCAAGGCGACGAAGGGUAGCCGGCCUGAGAGGGCGACCGGCCACACUGGGACUGAGCCACGGCCCAGACUCCUACGGGAGGCAGCAGUGGGGAAUAUUGCACAAUGGGCGAAAGCCUGAUGCAGCGACGCCGCGUGAGGGAUGAAGGUCUUCGGAUUGUAAACCUCUUUCAGUAGGGACGAAGCGAAAGUGACGGUACCUAAAGAAGAAGCACCGGCUAACUACGUGCCAGCCGCCGCAGUAA
rnacentral:rRNA from 1 species